GGAGCGGCAGAGCGGUCAAUCUGGGUGGUCAAACUCAACAACAUACUGAAUUUACAGGGAAAUCGACGGCCUGCAAAGCCGUUUAGGCCGGUUCGACUCCGGCUCGCGCCUCCA
rnacentral:tRNA from 1 species